rnacentral:rRNA from 1 species
UACGUAGGGUGCGAGCGUUAAUCGGAAUUACUGGGCGUAAAGCGUGCGCAGGCGGUGUUGUAAGACUGGCGUGAAAUCCCCGGGCUCAACCUGGGAAUUGCACUUGUUACUGCAUAGCUGGAGUGCGGGAGAGGGAGAUGGAAUUUAGCGUGUAGCAGUGAAAUGCGUAGAGAUGCGAAGGAACGCCGGUGGCGAAGGCAAGCCCCUGGACAUGCACUGACGCUCAUGCACGAAAGCGAGGGGAGCAAACAGG